rnacentral:rRNA from 1 species
GACGAACGCUGGCGGCGUGCUUAACACAUGCAAGUCGAACGGAAAGGCCCUGCUUUUGUGGGGUGCUCGAGUGGCGAACGGGUGAGUAACACGUGAGUAACCUGCCCUUGACUUUGGGAUAACUUCAGGAAACUGGGGCUAAUACCGGAUAGGAGCUCCUGCUGCAUGGUGGGGGUUGGAAAGUUUCGGCGGUUGGGGAUGGACUCGCGGCUUAUCAGCUUGUUGGUGGGGUAGUGGCUUACCAAGGCUUUGACGGGUAGCCGGCCUGAGAGGGUGACCGGCCACAUGGGGACGGAGAUACGGCCCAGACUCCUAGGGGGGACAGCAGGGGGGAAUAUUGAACAAGGGGGGGAAGCCUGAUGCAGCAACGCCGCGUGGGGGAUGACGGCCUUCGGGUUGUAAACCGCUUUCGCCUGGGACGAAGGGUGGGGGAGGGUAAUGGGUAAAGAAGCACGGCCUAACUACGUC